UCCCUCUUAGCUCAGUGGUAGAGCGCGUCACUAGUAUCUCGAGGGCUCCAUAAUAUAAUGACGAGGUCAGUCGUUCAAGUCGGCUAGAGGGAA